rnacentral:rRNA from 1 species
AUUGAACGCUGGUGGCAGGCUUAACACAUGCAGGUCGAACGGUAACAGGAAUUAGCUUGCUCAUUUGCUGACGAGUGGCGGACGGGUGAGUAAUGCUUGUGAAUCUGGCUUAUGGAGGGGGAUAACUACGGGAAACUGUAGCUAAUACCGCGUAAAAUCUUCGGAUUAAAGGGUGGGACUUUCGAGCCACCUGCCAUAAGAUGAGCCCAAGUGGGAUUAGGUAGUUGGUUAGGUAAAGGCUGACCAAGCCGACGAUCUGUAGCUGGUCUGAGAGGAUGACCAGCCACACUGGAACUGAGACACGGUCCAGACUCCUACGGGAGGCAGCAGUGGGGAAUAUUGCGCAAUGGGGGGAACCCUGAUGCAGCCAUGCCGCGUGAAUGAAGAAGGCCUUCGGGUUGUAAAGUUCUUUCGGUGACGAGGAAGGUUGAUAGGUUAAUCGCCUAUCAAAUUGACGUUAAUCACAGAAGAAGCACCGGCUAACUCCGUG